rnacentral:rRNA from 1 species
UACGCGAAUUGAAUCCGCCAGUGCAGAAAAGUGGGUUAACACAUGCAAGUCUAACGAACGACUAUUAACCCUUUUCUUUCGGGGCGAAGAUGAUAGAAGUUAGGGGCGGACGGGUGCGUAACGCGUGGGUAAUCUGCCUUUGUCAAAGGAAUAACUAUUCGAAAGAAUAGCUAAAACCGUAUAACAUAUCAAUAGGGCAUCCUGAUGAUAUCAAAACGAUAGUGGACAAAGAUGAGCCCGCGUCUGAUUAGCUAGUUGGUGAGAUAAAAGCUCACCAAGGCGACGAUCAGUACCCGACCUGAGAGGGUGAACGGCCACAUUGGAACUGAGACCCGGUCCAAACUCCUACGGGAGGCAGCAGUGGGGAAUAUUGCACAAUGGGGGGAACCCUGAUGCAACAACGCCGCGUGAGUGAAGAAGGCAUUCGUGUCGUAAUACUCUGUAGUAGGGGAAGAAAAAAAAUGACAGUACCCUAUAGUAAAGCCCCGGCUAACUACGUGCCAGCAGCCGCGGUAAUACGUAAGGGGCAUGCGUUAUCCGGAAUAACUGGUCGUAUAGGGUGCGCAGGUGGUUUAACAAGUUAUGUGGUGAAGGGCAUAGGCUCAACCAAUGUAAGCCAUUAAAACUGUUUAACUUGAGUGCAGGAGAGGAAAGUGUAAUUCCUAGUAUAGCGGUGAAA